CUUAAUAUUUAAAGACUUGCUAUCAAAAGUCAAAGAAGCCGAUUUAAAUCAUUUUAGAUAAAAUAAAUUAGGUGAAGAAAUUAUAAAUUAAGUGGAAGAAAAGAAAGAUAAAAUAAAAAUGACAACACUUUUAAAGAAUUUGUCUAGAUUAAUUAAUUUACAAAUAUUAGCUAGCACAAAUAAACAAUACAUGCUACAAGAAAUAAUGCAAGAAUUAAAGUUGGGCCCUCAGUUGACCCAUUAGAAGCUGCCCAGUUUUGGGCUUGAAUUAUGGACUUCAGUCCAUUUUUCUGAAGUGUAUAUCAGCUGUAUACUGACUGUAUAUCAGCCCUGUUGCCGCUGCAUUUUUGUAUACGCACUGCAUAUCUGUGUAUAGACCUUGUAUGCUCGCUUCCACUUUUAAUAUACUCCAUUAUCAGCUGCUUUCUAGUGUACACCAACUGUAUCUAAGGGUAUAUCCCAUGUGUAUCAGUCCAGUUUUGGACUUUGGUAGAGGCUUGACUCGAUAUGAAAAAUAGACGUAGGAAGAACGCAGUCCAAAUAGUCUCACGCAGGGGAGUUCAUGCGAAAGAAAGAAAAGAGAAGGAUGUUAUCAACUCUAUUAUAAGAGAGGAAAAAGAGCAAUCAUAAUAGAGUUCAAAUGAAUCACAAAGCUACUGGCUACAUAAUCAUCACCCAAAAAACUUCUACUAGUUUCUCGAGAGCACAAAAACCACUAGUGCUAUUAUAUAUAAGAAAAAUGUUGUAAUAUAAUCAUCACAUAUCAUCUUACGAACUUAAAAUAAUUUAACUAAUUUGGCAAAUUAAUUAAACACACCAAUAACAAAAAUUCCACCAAUAAUUAACACGUUAGAUUAUAUGCAGUUUGAUAUUGCUAAAUAUGCACAUAGACACUAUAAACAUAACAUUGUUACACUUAAAAUAGUUAACUGUUUUCAAUACACAUGUGAGCAAAUCAGAUAUAACUUGUGUAUACAAGGAUACCGCAUAUUUCUGUAUAUAACAUGGAUACACUUAAGGUAAAUAUUCAGGCAUAUAAUAAAAAUAUAGGCAUAAUGAAGGUUAAAAAAGUAUUACCGGCAGAAUAUUCAUUUUAGCUAGUUAUUCAAAGAAAGGUACAAGUUUAGCUCUACCAAGUCUCUUUGCUAAAAUCGUGAAAUGAGGAUCUCAAAAACUAACAUAGAAUUGAAUAAAAAAUGAAAACCCACAAAAAAAUGCCAUCUUUAUGAUUUCCAAACCAAAAGUGAAAUAAAUUAAACACAAAAUUGCUAAGUCCAAAAUAUAGAAUACUCGAAAGAUCAAUGUAGAGUUCAAUAAAAAAUGCAAUCUUAGAGCUUUCAAAUGAGUUAUUAACCAUAAAACUACUAAACCCAACAAUCUCCAAAAUCAGCAUAGAACUCAAUAAAACGAAAACCCACGUGGGACAAAACAAAAGAUACGUUGGACAUUAAUUUGUUACCGAAAAUGGUGAACCAAAGACUGAGGGCGAGGAAAGUCGUCUGAUUUUUAGACGAACAUAGCGUCCAAUAAGGGCAAAAGGGGUAAAACAAAGAAACGGCUAGUUCGGACGAUUGCUGACUCGUUGGUCGCUGUUGCUACAGCGUUGGUGGUUAUUUGCGUUUGUACGCCGCUGUUGGCUGAGUGUACAGCGUUGUUUGGUUGUUGUUGUUACGUUGAUAUUGCUGUGUUGGAGUUGUAUUGCUG
rnacentral:lncRNA from 1 species